GGGGGCAUGGCUCAGGGGUAGAGCUAUUUGACUGCAGAUCAAGAGGUUCCCGGUUCGAAUCCAGGUGCCCACU
rnacentral:tRNA from 1 species